rnacentral:rRNA from 1 species
UACGGGGGGGGCAAGCGUUGUUCGGAAUUACUGGGCGUAAAGGGCGCGUAGGCGGCCUGCUAAGUCGGAUGUGAAAUCCCUCGGCUCAACCGAGGAACUGCAUCCGAUACUGGCGGGCUUGAAUCCGGGAGAGGGAUGUGGAAUUCCAGGUGUAGCGGUGAAAUGCGUAGAGAUCAGGAAGAACACCAGUGGCGAAGGCGCUCUGCUAGGCCGUAACUGACACUGAGGGACGAAAUAUAGGGGAGCGAAUGGG